GCGGGUAUCAGUUUAGUGGUAAA
rnacentral:tRNA from 1 species